AAAUAAAUGUGCCAAGUGUACUAAAAUUUAGCAUACUUUUGUGUACUUGAAGCCACACUAAUCAUCAAUAUACUUCAGGGCAAGAACUUUCCUUUAAGCCUGAAAACAAUUGGGGAAUACAAAAUGAGGACUGACUGUGCAGGUUGUAGGUGAGCUGGAGCCACACCCGGCUGACUUCUGGUGAGAGGUGGGGUUCACCCUGGACAGGUCACCAGACUAUCACGGGGCAAACACAGGGAGACAGCCAUUCACACUCACACCUAUGCCAAACCAGAGCACCCAGAGGACACCCACAUCAACACAAAGUGAACAUACAAACUCUACAUUGAAAGGCCUUUGGUCAACUGCCAGGUUUGAACCUGGAACCUGUUUGCUGUGAAGCCCCACUUAAAAGGAGAAGCACUCAUCUGCUUUCACACAGCAAUGAAUUUUAUAAAUUAAUAAACUUAAAUUUAAU